GCCCACUUCUUGUCAAAUCCAAGAAGGAAGGGACCUGCUGGCCAAACCCUUUUUUCCCACUGGACCUCAGACCCCAAGGAACUUGGAGUCUGCUCAAGUGAGUGAGUUGGGGCUCUUCGCCCUCCCAGAACUGGCUGUUGAUGGAAGAAACCCCUGCGUAGGAAGGAUGGAACUCUCCUGCUAUCAUGUGAAGCAGCAUGGACUAGCCUACAGAGGAUGAGGCCUCAUGGAGCAGACAAGCUGUCUCAGUUGAGGCCCUCAAAACCAAUCAAGCUCCAGCUGAACUGCCAGGUGACUGUAGCUGCAUGAGUGACCCCAGGCAAGAUGAGCAGAAGAGGCCCCAACUGAGCCCAACCCAAAUAGCUGACUCAUGGAAUCAUGAGCAAAUAAAAUGGUUGUUUUAAGCCACUAAGUUUUUAGAUGGUUUGUUACCCAGCAAUACAUAAUUGGUUUAUCAGAUAUCACAGCUAUUUUAUAGAUGAAGAAACUGACUCUCCAAGAAUUUGAUUGACUUGCACAUCAGGACAAGGACUGGGAUGGAAAGAGAAAGCCA
rnacentral:lncRNA from 1 species